AAGGUUAUUUAAUUUCAAAUGGGGUUUUAAAAAAUUUAAAUAAGUUAGAUUGAAGAGACAAAAUUGAAAGAUAUAAUUAGAGCUUGGGGACUAAAGUAAAAUUUUAAAAAAUUAUUUUAUAAUCAGAAUAUUAUUUAAUUAAAUAAAUAAAUAAAUAAAAGUAAAUAUAAUAAAAAGCCUAUUUUUCUCCCUAUCAUACCCGAUACCCAAUCUAUCUCUCAUCUUCCUCAAUUUCUCUCUCGCCAGUCGUCUUCCCGACCCCUGACGACCAUUUUGCCAGCCUUUGAUUACUACAUGCGCCUGACCAAAAAAUUCCGAGGCCACCGAACUAUCGGCCAUGUGGGCCACCAGACCUCACUCGUCGGUUAAGCCUCCCAACUAGUCAUUCGAAGUUCUGCGUCUGUUUUGGUUUUAACUUCGAUUUGACCACCUCGAGCCUAUGUGGGCCAAGUGACCACCAUCAUCAUGCUCCUUAUAUUGUAGGCUUCAAAACCCGGCAAAGGAUCGAACUCAAAGGUUGUCAGAAUUUGAAGUGGGUGUUCGCUCUCCAAACUUUCAGGCAUAGAUCCGAGCACUUCCAGGUCAUUUCGAGCUAUGCAACCACCACCACGAUAUUCCUCCAGACCUAGGCUCCAAAACCCAGUGGUUCUUUUCCCCAACCACCACCGUUGGGUGGUGGUGCUGCCACCACCAAAGUUCCAGCGAGGGUCUCAGCCUGUGAUGAUUUUAGGUGACCGAAAACAUCAUUUCAAGCUCCAAAGGUCACCGUUUCGAAUCGCCUUCCCAAGCACUUGGGACUUGUCUUAUAAGUGUGCAGCAAACAUACCCAACGUAGCGGGGCGUUACAGUAAAGCUUUCGGAUCAGCCACCAAUUUCUUCAUUCUUAGCCUAAAAAAAGAGUUACUUAAUUCCAAUAACUCUUCAAAUAGUGAAAACAAAAGAAACAUUUUAUACUUU